rnacentral:rRNA from 1 species
GACGUAGGGCGCGAGCGUUUGUCCGGAUUUAUUGGGCGUAAAGAGCUCGUAGGCGGUUCGGUAAGUCGGGUGUGAAACCUCCAGGCUCAACCUGGAGACGCCACCUGAUACUGCUGUGACUCGAGUCCGGUAGGGGAGCGUGGAAUUCCUGGUGUAGCGGUGAAAUGCGCAGAUAUCAGGAGGAACACCGGUGGCGAAGGCGGAUCUCUGGGCCUUACCUGACGCUCAGGUGCGAAAGCUAGGGGAGCGAACAGG